UGGGGAAUAUUGCACAAUGGGCGAAAGCCUGAUGCAGCAACGCCGCGUGCGGGAAGAAGGCCCUAGGGUUGUAAACCGCUUUCAGCAGGGAAGAAAAUGACGGUACCUGCAGAAGAAGGUGCGGCCAACUACGUGCCAGCAGCCGCGGUGACACGUAGGCACCAAGCGUUGUCCGGAUUUAUUGGGCGUAAAGAGCUCGUAGGCGGUUCAGUAAGUCGGGUGUGAAAACUCUGGGCUCAACCCAGAGACGCCACCCGAUACUGCUGUGACUUGAGUACGGUAGGGGAGUGGGGAAUUCCUGGUGUAGCGGUGAAAUGCGCAGAUAUCAGGAGGAACACCAGUGGCGAAGGCGCCACUCUGGGCCGUAACUGACGCUGAGGAGCGAAAGCGUGGGGAGCAAACAGGAUUAGAUACCCAGGUAGUCCCUGAGCGGGCUGGCAAGGCG
rnacentral:rRNA from 1 species